rnacentral:tRNA from 4 species
GGAGACGUGGGAGAGUGGUCUAAUCCAGCGCCUUGCUAAGGCGUCGUACCCCGCAAGGGGUACCGUGAGUUCGAAUCUCACCGUCUCCGCCA